GAUGAACGCUGGCGGCGUGCCUAAUACAUGCAAGUCGAGCGAACGGACGAGAAGCUUGCUUCUCUGAUGUUAGCGGCGGACGGGUGAGUAACACGUGGAUAACCUAAUUAUAAGACUGGGAUAACUUCGGGAAACCGGAGCUAAUACCGGAUAAUAUUUUGAACCGCAUGGUUCAAAAGUGAAAGACGGUCUUGCUGUCACUUAUAGAUGGAUCCGCGCUGCAUUAGCUAGUUGGUAAGGUAACGGCUUACCAAGGCAACGAUGCAUAGCCGACCUGAGAGGGUGAUCGGCCACACUGGAACUGAGACACGGUCCAGACUCCUACGGGAGGCAGCAGUAGGGAAUCUUCCGCAAUGGGCGAAAGCCUGACGGAGCAACGCCGCGUGAGUGAUGAAGGUCUUCGGAUCGUAAAACUCUGUUAUUAGGGAAGAACAUAUGUGUAAGUAACUGUGCACAUCUUGACGGUACCUAAUCAGAAAGCCACGGCUAACUACGUG
rnacentral:rRNA from 1 species